AUUGAACGCUGGCGGCGUGCUUUACACAUGCAAGUCGAGCGGCAGCAUGACCUUCGGGUCGAUGGCGAGCGGCGAACGGGUGAGUAAUACAUCGGAACGUACCUUUUAGUGGGGGAUAACGCAUCGAAAGAUGUGCUAAUACCGCAUAAUCUCUGAGGAGGAAAGGCGGGGAUCACGCAAGUGACCUGUCGCUGAAAGAGCGGCCGAUGGUCGAUUAGCUAGUUGGCGGGGUAAAAGCCCACCAAGGCGAUGAUCGAUAGCGGGUCUGAGAGGAUGAUCCGCCACACUGGGACUGAGACACGGCCCAGACUCCUACGGGAGGCAGCAGUGGGGAAUUUUGGACAAUGGACGCAAGUCUGAUCCAGCCAUUCCGCGUGCAGGAUGAAGGCCUUCGGGUUGUAAACUGCUUUUGUACAGAACGAAAAGGUCUCUAUUAAUACUAGGGGCUCAUGACGGUACUGUAAGAAUAAGCACCGGCUAACUACGUG
rnacentral:rRNA from 1 species